CCUACGGGAGGCUGCAGUGGGGAAUAUUGCGCAAUGAGCGAAAGCCUGACGCAGCGACGCCGCGUGAGGGAUGAAGGUCUUCGGAUCGUAAACCUCUGUCAGCAGGGAAGAACGGUCACUGUGCUAAUCAGCAGUGAAUUGACGGUACCUGCAAAGGAAGCACCGGCUAACUCCGUGCCAGCAGCCGCGGUAAUACGGAGGGUGCAAGCGUUAAUCGGAAUUAAUGGGCGUAAAGCGCUCGUAGGCGGUAUGUUAAGUCAAGGGGGAAAUCCCCGGGCUCAACGUGGGUACUGCCUUUGAAACUGGCAAACGUGAGUGUGUGAGAGGAUAGAGGAAUUCGAGGUGUAGCAGUGAAAUGCGUAGAUAGCUGGAGGAACAGCAGUGGCGAAGGCGACUAUCUGGCACAUAACUGACGCUGAGGAGCGAGAGCGUGGGUAGCAAACAGGAUUAGAUACCCGUGUAGUC
rnacentral:rRNA from 1 species